rnacentral:rRNA from 1 species
AUUGAACGCUGGCGGCAGGCCUAACACAUGCAAGUCGAACGGUAACAGGAAGCAGCUUGCUGCUUUGCUGACGAGUGGCGGACGGGUGAGUAAUGUCUGGGAAACUGCCCGAUGGAGGGGGAUAACUACUGGAAACGGUAGCUAAUACCGCAUAACGUCGCAAGACCAAAGAGGGGGACCUUAGGGCCUCUUGCCAUCGGAUGUGCCCAGAUGGGAUUAGCUAGAAGGUGGGGUAACGGCUCACCUAGGCGACGAUCCCUAGCUGGUCUGAGAGGAUGACCAGCCACACUGGAACUGAGACACGGUCCAGACUCCUACGGGAGGCAGCAGUGGGGAAUAUUGCACAAUGGGCGCAAGCCUGAUGCAGCCAUGCCGCGUGUAUGAAGAAGGCCUUCGGGUUGUAAAGUACUUUCAGCGGGGAGGAAGGGAGUAAAGUUAAUACCUUUGCUCAUUGACGUUACCCGCAGAAGAAGCACCGGCUAACUCCGUG